GAUGAACGCUGGCGGCGUGCCUAAUACAUGCAAGUCGAGCGAAUGGAUUAAGAGCUUGCUCUUAUGAAGUUAGCGGCGGACGGGUGAGUAACACGUGGGUAACCUGCCCAUAAGACUGGGAUAACUACGGGAAACCGGGGCUAAUACCGGAUAACAUUUUGAACCGCAUGGUUCGAAAUUGAAAGGCGGCUUCGGCUGUCACUUAUGGAUGGACCCGGGUCGCAUUAGCUAGUUGGUGAGGUAACGGCUCACCAAGGCAACGAUGCGUAGCCGACCUGAGAGGGUGAUCGGCCGCACUGGGACUGAGACACGGCCCAGACUCCUCCGGGAGGCAGCAGUAGGGAAUCUUCCGCAAUGGACGAAAGUCUGACGGAGCAACGCCGCGUGAGUGAUGAAGGCUUUCGGGUCGUAAAACUCUGUUGUUAGGGAAGAACAAGUGCUAGUUGAAUAAGCUGGCACCUUGACGGUACCUAACCAGAAAGCCACGGCUAACUACGUGCCAGCCGCCGCGGUAA
rnacentral:rRNA from 1 species